AAACUAGGAUUAGAUACCCUAUUAUUUUAAGUUUAUUUUUAAAGUAGUAAAUUAUGUUUUUUAAACUUAAUUUUUCUGGCGGUUCACUACUCUAACAGGAGGAGCUUGUCAAAUUAGAUUGAUAACCCGCUUUUAUUUUCACCAUUGGUUUAUCUUAUGUACGGCUGUUAAGCUUUAAGAUUUAGCUUAUUGUUUUAACUUUUAAAAGCUUAGUUCAGGUCAAUGUGUAGACUAUGCUGUGGAUUUUGAUGAGCUACUUUUAUUAGUUUUAGUAUUUGUCUUCUUUUUAAAUUGGAUUUGUUAGUAAAGCUGAAAUAAAACUUUAGCUUGGUGUAGACUUUUGAUGGAAGUACAUAUCGCCCGUCACUCUUUUGAUAGAUAAGUCGUAACAUAGUA
rnacentral:rRNA from 1 species